rnacentral:rRNA from 1 species
CAGGAGGAACUCUGAUGCAGCAACGCCGCGUGGAGGAUGACACUUUUCGGAGCGUAAACUCCUUUUAUAUAGGAAGAUAAUGACGGUACUAUAUGAAUAAGCACCGGCUAACUCCGUGCCAGCAGCCGCGGUAAUACGGAGGGUGCAAGCGUUACUCGGAAUCACUGGGCGUAAAGAGCGUGUAGGCGGGUUAAUAAGUUGGAAGUGAAAUCCUAUGGCUCAACCAUAGAACUGCUUUCAAAACUGUUAACCUAGAAUAUGGGAGAGGUAGAUGGAAUUUCUGGUGUAGGGGUAAAAUCCGUAGAGAUCAGAAGGAAUACCGAUUGCGAAGGCAGA